AGGAUAGGUGGGAGGCUUUGAAGCGUGGACGCCAGUCUGCGUGGAGCCGACCUUGAAAUACCACCCUUUAAUGUUUGAUGUUCUAACGUGGACCCGUAAUCCGGGUUGCGGACAGUGUCUGGUGGGUAGUUUGACUGGGGCGGUCUCCUCCUAAAGAGUAACGGAGGAGCACGAAGGUUGGCUAAUCCUGGUCGGACAUCAGGAGGUUAGUGCAAUGGCAUAAGCCAGCUUGACUGCGAGCGUGACGGCGCGAGCAGGUGCGAAAGCAGGUCAUAGUGAUCCGGUGGUUCUGAAUGGAAGGGCCAUCGCUCAACGGAUAAAAGGUACUCCGGGGAUAACAGGCUGAUACCGCCCAAGAGUUCAUAUCGACGGCGGUGUUUGGCACCUCGAUGUCGGCUCAUCACAUCCUGGGGCUGAAGUAGGUCCCAAGGGUAUGGCUGUUCGCCAUUUAAAGUGGUACGCGAGCUGGGUUUAGAACGUCGUGAGACAGUUCGGUCCCUAUCUGCCGUGGGCGCUGGAGAACUGAGGGGGGCUGCUCCUAGUACGAGAGGACCGGAGUGGACGCAUCACUGGUGUUCGGGUUGUCAUGCCAAUGGCACU
rnacentral:rRNA from 1 species